GGCAACUGCUGUUGCGACAAUAACAUCUCUAUAAAUUCAAUUACAUGGGGCUUAUAAAUACCGGGUUGAAACGAUUACUCAUUGUAUUUGCCGCAAAGAGCAACGAAGACACAUAGCCUACACAAGUUGAAAAAUGAAGAUCGCUGUUGUCGUGUUACUGGUGGUGGUAUUGGGCGCUGUCGCGGAGGGUGCAUUUGUCAAGUAUAACGACCGACCGCUGGCCCCGGAAAAGCAGGCGAUGUUAGACGCAAUGCGGGCACAAGCCGAGGAGGCCGAAAAAUCAGGAAGAAGUCUGCCAUUUCAGGAAAAGAGAGCAACGAAGGAAGACAACUAACAACAUCGAGUGAAGCAAAACAAUAUGUACACAGGUUUGCCCUACCAUCAACAUGACAGACACGACACUGGAAGGUGAACUGCCACCCAAUACAACACAUCAAAUCAAGACACGGUGAUUGGUCGCAAAUUGACCAUCCCGUGUUACGUAUUUCCUUAAUUUCAUCUCUCAGAAUUCCAUGAAUCUAACUACAUGUUGUUAAUUAUGAAUCUGAAUCGUAUUCAAAACACCUCCUUUAAACUAAAUUGGUUACUAUUGUUUAGCUUCGUUCAGUCAUCUUGUUGCUUUAAAGUUGCUUAAAUGAAUAAAAUUCAUUUAAAAGUG